AACGAACGCUGGCGGCAGGCUUAACACAUGCAAGUCGAACGCCCCGCAAGGGGAGUGGCAGACGGGUGAGUAACGCGUGGGAAUCUACCGAGCCCUGCGGAAUAGCUCCGGGAAACUGGAAUUAAUACCGCAUACGCCCUUUUGGGGAAAGAUUUAUCGGGGUUUGAUGAGCCCGCGUUGGAUUAGCUAGUUGGUGGGGUAAAGGCCUACCAAGGCGACGAUCCAUAGCUGGUCUGAGAGGAUGAUCAGCCACAUUGGGACUGAGACACGGCCCAAACUCCUACGGGAGGCAGCAGUGGGGAAUAUUGGACAAUGGGCGCAAGCCUGAUCCAGCCAUGCCGCGUGAGUGAUGAAGGUCUUAGGAUUGUAAAGCUCUUUCACCGGAGAAGAUAAUGACGGUAUCCGGAGAAGAAGCCCCGGCUAACUUCGUGCCAGCCGCCGCCGUAAUAC
rnacentral:rRNA from 1 species